rnacentral:rRNA from 1 species
CACGUAGUUAGCCGGGGCUUCCUCGAAGGGUACCGUCAGGCUAGGGGCUAUUAACCCUUCGCCCUUCGUCCCCAACAACAGAGCUUUACGACCCGAAGGCCUUCCUCGCUCACACGGUGUUGCUGCGUCAGGCUUUCGCCCAUUGCGCAAGAUUCCCGACUGCUGCCUCCCGUAGGAGUCUGGGCCGUGUCUCAGUCCCAGUGUGGCUGAUCAUCCUCUCAGACCAGCUAUCCAUCGUCGCCUUGGUGGGCCGUUACCCCACCAACUAGCUAAUGGACCGCGGGCCCAUCCCUCACCGGAUGGCCGAAGCUACCUUUCCUCUACUUACCAUGCGAUAUGUAGAGCUUACGGGGUAUUAGCCGGAGUUUCCCCCGGUUGUCCCCCUGUGAGGGGCAGGUUGCCCACGUGUUACGCACCCGUUCGCCACUUUACUCACCCCGAAGGGCUUUCUCGUUCGACUUGCAUGUCUAAAGCACACCGUCAGCGUUCGUCCUGAGCCAGGAUCAAACUCU